ACCCAGCGGGGCUUGGGAAGUUGGAUUCCCAGCUCACAGCACGGCAAAAGUAGGAGCGAAUGCGGAGUGAUCAGUGUCCCCCUCCCUUUCUCAGCCCUACAGCCAGGAGCAAAAGUUCAGUGCACCAUCCAAAAUACAGGAGAAACAAACCUCCAGCAUUGCCUGCCAGAGGUAGGGGCUGGCCCCCUCGCAGGAGGGCGGUGCAUUAAAAAGCCCUUUCCUCGAGCUGUUUUCCACUCGGGAUAGCAGUGCAGCAAGAAUGGAGACCUGAGGGAGGUGCUGGAAAGACAAGAGAGACUCCAAAACUCCAUGAAGAAACCACCAGAGGCCCAGUGGAAUCAGUGAUGGAUUCUUAGUGUCACAAGAAAUCUUUACCAAGGGACAAUAUGCCCAGUGUGGACCACUGAGCUAUGUGAGCAACAGCAAAUCCAUCUAAGUCCUGCAGAGCAAACUGAUGGAAGUGCAGUUGGAAAGGGAUGCCCUUCUGGAUACCAGGAAUUGCAGAGCCAAGAGAAUGAAAAAUUACAGC